rnacentral:lncRNA from 1 species
AGACUCCUUGAAAUACCCUUUCAGUAAUCAUUCAACCAACGCUUCCAUGUCUCUACUCUGUCGUAACAAAGGCUGUGGGCAGCACUUUGACCCUAAUACCAACCUUCCUGGUCAGAGUUGCCUCUGAAGCUGCUGCCGCUAAAUAUAUCCCAAGCCCUGGAAAUGGCAUUGGAACAGAAGGAAUUAGACCAGGAACCUGGGGCAGGACUUGACAGUCUGAUCCGGACUGGUUCCAGCUGCCAGAACCCAGGAUGUGAUGCUGUUUACCAAGGCCCUGAGAGUGAUGCUACUCCAUGUACCUACCACCCAGGAGCACCCCGAUUCCAUGAGGGGAUGAAGUCUUGGAGCUGUUGUGGCAUCCAGACCCUGGAUUUUGGGGCAUUCUUGGCACAACCAGGGUGCAGAGUCGGUAGACAUGACUGGGGGAAGCAGCUCCCAGCAUCUUGCCGCCAUGAUUGGCACCAGACAGAUUCCUUAGUA